rnacentral:rRNA from 1 species
AUGAACGCUGGCGGCGUGCCUAAUACCUGCAAGUCGAGCGAACAGACGAGGAGCUUGCUCCUCUGACGUUAGCGGCGGACGGGUGAGUAACACGUGGAUAACCUACCUAUAAGACUGGGAUAACUUCGGGAAACCGGAGCUAAUACCGGAUAAUAUAUUGAACCGCAUGGUUCAAUAGUGAAAGACGGUUUUGCUGUCACUUAUAGAUGGAUCCGCGCCGCAUUAGCUAGUUGGUAAGGUAACGGCUUACCAAGGCAACGAUGCGUAGCCGACCUGAGAGGGUGAUCGGCCACACUGGAACUGAGACACGGUCCAGACUCCUACGGGAGGCAGCAGUAGGGAAUCUUCCGCAAUGGGCGAAAGCCUGACGGAGCAACGCCGCGUGAGUGAUGAAGGUCUUCGGAUCGUAAAACUCUGUUAUUAGGGAAGAACAAAUGUGUAAGUAACUAUGCAUGUCUUGACGGUACCUAAUCAGAAAGCCACGGCUAACUACGUG